AGCAAGACUGUUAGAGCUCUCUACCAAGUGAAAAUGAAAUCCAGACAGUCACAGCAGGAUGAGUCCCUGCUUCGAGGAGAAGUGGCAGCAGCAGUAGCAGCAGCAAAAACAACAACAACAACAAAACAACAACAAAGGCAACCACCCACCACCGCUGCUACUACCGCCAUAACAACAACCACAAAGCAAAGCAAAAGUAAAGAUGCCCGGCAAGGUGUUUUUGUGCUACUGGCUUUCUAGAAGUUCGGGGAAUUGAAAGGGGCUUAGAUCAUGUUAAUGUAAAUCAUGUAAUGC
rnacentral:lncRNA from 1 species